rnacentral:rRNA from 1 species
UACGAAGGGGGCUAGCGUUGCUCGGAAUCACUGGGCGUAAAGGGUGCGUAGGCGGAUUGUUAAGUCAGGGGUGAAAUCCUGGAGCUCAACUCCAGAACUGCCUUUGAUACUGGCGAUCUUGAGUCCGGGAGAGGUGAGUGGAACUGCGAGUGUAGAGGUGAAAUUCGUAGAUAUUCGCAAGAACACCAGUGGCGAAGGCGGCUCACUGGCCCGGUACUGACGCUGAGGUGCGAAAGCGUGGGGAGCGAACAGG